AGUUUGGGUCCUGUGCAAUAAGAGUCUGUGAACCUUGUCAGGUCCGGAAGGAAGCAGCAAUAAGCAGAGCACCUUAUGUGCCACAGCAAAGCCUGAAUUCAUU
rnacentral:SRP_RNA from 1 species